rnacentral:rRNA from 1 species
GACGGAGGGUGCUAGCGUUGUUCGGAAUUACUGGGCGUAAAGGGCUCGUAGGCGGCCAACUAAGUCAGACGUGAAAUCCCUCGGCUUAACCGGGGAACUGCGUCUGAUACUGGAUGGCUUGAGGUUGGGAGAGGGAUGCGGAAUUCCAGGUGUAGCGGUGAAAUGCGUAGAUAUCUGGAGGAACACCGGUGGCGAAGGCGGCAUCCUGGACCAAUUCUGACGCUGAGGAGCGAAAGCCAGGGGAGCAAACGGG